UUUUUUUUUUUUUUUGGUCUUUUUAGGGCUGCACAUGUGGCAUAUGGAGGUUCCCAUGCUAGGGGUCAAAGUGGAGCUGCAGCUGCCAGUCUACACCACAGCUGCAGCAACACCAGAUCCAAGCUGGCUCUGCGACCUACACCACAGCUCACGGCAACACCAGAUCCUUAACCCACUGAGCGAGGAGAAAAGAUGCAGGCACACGGAGGAGGAGCCCACGUGACGAUGGAGGGAUUAGGGUGAUGCAACCGAAAGUCAAGCAAAGCCUGGAGCCACCAGAUGCUGGGACAGGCAAGGAACAGAUUCCCCCCUCAAACCUUUGGAGGGGGCACAGCCCUGCCCACACCUCAAUUUCAGCCCAGAGAUACUGACUCCAGUUUUCUGGCCUUGGGAACUGGAAGAGAAUGAAUGUGCAUUGUUUUAAGCCACCAAAUUUCGGGUAAUUUGAGACAGCAACCACAGGAAACACAUACAAUGGACGUGAACUGAUCUAAUUAGUAUCAAAUAAUUGUUUGAACAGAUGCAAUUAUCAUCUCCCCCCCAAGGAGUGGUAACGGCCGAUAAGUACAUAUAAAGAUGCUCGACCUCAUGACUCGGCAGAGAAAGACAAAUGAAAACCACAGUAAGACAUCACUACAUACUCACCGGAAUAGUUACAAUUAAAAAGAAAGAGAAUAAAGAAAAGACUGUCAGUAUGGGGCACUGCAGGGAGGUGGAGCUGCUGGAACUUUCAUACGGGGUGGGAGGGAGCAGGAGGGAGCAGGAGGAGGAUAGUACAUGGAAAACUCACUUAAAAAAAAAAAAAAUCAGGAGUUCCCACCGUGGCGCAACGGGAUCUGCAGCAUCUGGGAAGCACUGGGACACAGGUUCAAUCCCCGCGGCCCAGGCACAGUGGGUAAAGGCUCCAGUGUUGCCGAAGCUGUGGCUUAGGUGGCAACUGUGGCUUGGAUCUGAUCCCCUGGCCCAAGAACUCCAUAUGCUGCGGGGCAGCCCCAAAAGAAUAAUAAUAAUAUAUUUUUAAAAAGCAGCAUUGACUCUUAAGGGUAAACAUACACCCGUCCUAUGCCCCAGCAAUCCCCUUCCUGAAUAUUCCCAAGGGAAAUGAGUGUGAUGCCCACCAAAGCCUGGUGCCAGUGUGGUCCUAGCAGCCUC
rnacentral:lncRNA from 1 species